rnacentral:rRNA from 1 species
UACGUAGGUAGCAAGCGUUGUCCGGAAUCAUUGGGCGUAAAGAGCGCGUAGGCGGCCGUGUAAGUCCGUUCUGAAAGUCGGAGGCUCAACCUCCGAAAGCGGAUGGAUACUGCACGGCUAGAGUCCGGAAGAGGCGAGUGGAAUUCCUGGUGUAGCGGUGGAAUGCGCAGAUAUCAGGAGGAACACCAACGGCGAAGGCAGCUCGCUGGGACGGUACUGACGCUGAGGCGCGAAAGCGUGGGGAGCAAACAGG